AUCCAGAUGACGAGUCCCAACUUGAACGAAACUCACUUCCUGGAU
rnacentral:hammerhead_ribozyme from 1 species